rnacentral:rRNA from 1 species
UUAACAUGCAAGUCGAACGGUAACAGGUUAAGCUGACGAGUGGCGAACGGGUGAGUAAUAUAUCGGAACGUGCCCAGUAGUGGGGGAUAGCCCGGCGAAAGCCGGAUUAAUACCGCAUACGACCUACGGGUGAAAGGGGGGGAUCGCAAGACCUCUCGCUAUUGGAGCGGCCGAUAUCAGAUUAGGUAGUUGGUGGGGUAAAGGCCUACCAAGCCGACGAUCUGUAGCUGGUCUGAGAGGACGACCAGCCACACUGGGACUGAGACACGGCCCAGACUCCUACGGGAGGCAGCAGUGGGGAAUUUUGGACAAUGGACGCAAGUCUGAUCCAGCCAUGCCGCGUGCGGGAAGAAGGCCUUCGGGUUGUAAACCGCUUUUGUCAGGGAAGAAAUCCUUUGGGCUAAUAUCCCAGGGGGAUGACGGUACCUGAAGAAUAAGCACCGGCUAACUACGUGCCAGCAGCCGCGGUAAUACGUAGGGUGCAAGCGUUAAUCGGAAUUACUGGGCGUAAAGCGUGCGCAGGCGGUUCUAUAAGACAGAUGUGAAAUCCCCGGGCUCAACCUGGGAACUGCAUUUGUGACUGUAUAGCUG